UACGGAGGGUGCAAGCAUUGAUCGGAAUUACUGGGCGUAGAGGGCGCGUAGGCGGCCGAAAAAGUCAGAUGUGAAAUUCCGGGGCUCAACCCCGGAGCUGCAUUUGAAACUCUUCGGCUAGAGGACAGUUAGGGUAAACGGAAUUCCACGUGUAGCGGUGAAAUGCGUAGAUAUGUGGAAGAACACCAAUGGUGAAGACGGUUUACUGGGCUGUAACUGACGCUGAGGCGCGAAAGCUAGGGGAGCAAACAGG
rnacentral:rRNA from 1 species